rnacentral:misc_RNA from 1 species
UACGGGUGGUGCGAGCGUUAAUCGGAAUUACUGGACGUACAGCGCGCGUAGGCGGUUUGUUAAGCGAGAUGUGAAAGCCCCGGGCUUAACCUGGGAACUGCAUUUCGAACUGGUAAGCUAGAGUGUAGAAGAGGGGUGUGGAAUUUCCGGUGUAGCGGUGAAAUGCGUAGAGAUCGGAAGGAACACCAGUGGCGAAGGCGACACCCUGGUCUAACACUGACGCUGAGGUGCGAAAGCGUGGGCAGCAAACAGG